GUCUAGAGUGAGAGGGAAAAUGGAAAAAGAUGAGGAAAAGUUCUGGAUCGGACUGACAGACGCACAGAAAGAGGAUGAAUGGCUUUGGGUGGACGACACACGACUGGAUCCAAAUUUGACGUUUUGGCGUGAGGGCGAGCCAGACAACUGGGCAUGGGAUAAUCCUGAUGGACAGGACUGUGUGAGGAUGGGGGAGAAAGACGGAGCCACGAACCUGAAGACCUGGGAAGAUAAAUACUGCAAAUGGCCUCAUAAAUAUAUUUGUGAGAAACCAGAAAAAGCAUGAGCCUGAAAUCCAGUUGGAUCAGAUUGAGCUCGAGUCUUCAGCCACUUUCACAAACUGAGACAUGAUACUUUAUUAAUGAAGAUCUUCUCCAGACAUAAACAACUUUGAAUAAUAUCUAGAGUCUCAUAUGUUCUUCAGUUUCCUUGUUAUUUUAAGUGACAUCUACUCCUCCCUCAUAUAAAAUCUAUGAAUAUUAAAAAUUAUAUAUAA